UGCAGGGAGGCAGAGCUGGAGGUGCCACUCCCAGGCCAAAGCCCGUGGGCACCUUCACUGGGAAUCAAAGGGAAGGACAAAACCAGGAUUUUAUCUUCACGGGGAAAAGCCUCGGCAGGAAAAAUCCUCCCUCGUUGGCAGAGUUUGGGACAACGCUCUGGAACGUGCUGGGCAGAGAGGGGAUGGUCUGUGUGGGCUGAAAAAUCAGCCUGGAUUGAGGGACAGCGAAGGAGGGUCAGCAGUGGGUACCAAGAAAUCAAAGGAUUCAGUUUGUGGAGGGAAAAGGGGUGGCAGAUGCUCUCCUGCCCCCUGAUGCUGCCGAGGACAUCGGACAGGAGAGGUUCUGCAGCAAGUGUGGAGCUCAAUUUCCACGCAUUGUUUAGCUCACUAAAGCUAAUUCGCUUUCCCACCCACUAUUUAAUUUAAUUUCCAUGCCUACCGUGGCUGGAACACAGCAUCCUCCUGUCAGAGGCCAGUAGAAAGAGCAGGUAAAGGUCAGUAACAGAGCUGGAUCAUGAGAGAAGACAACCACAUCCUCUGUGUGUCCUUGCAGGAUUUCAUUGUUUGAUCGGUGACAAGCAGAGCAAUUAAAACCGAAGAGCAGAUGUUGCAACCAAGAAUUCCACAAACUGAAGACGCUUCAUACCGACGGGUUUGAACAUUGGAAGUUUUAAAUAUUCCCUGAGGAGGUCACAAGAGUGAAGCUGGAGGAAGUUUUAAGGCUGGACAGGGCUUGGAGCAAGCUGGGGUAGUGAGGAGCUUUAGGGACCCUCCCGGUCCAUUCCAGGUUGGAAAUACGCCUGGGAAAUUCCAUUUUUGGGGGAUUUGUGGCAGGGCUCGGCGCCACUAGAUGGCAUCGGCAGCCCGCGAUUCCCCAUCCCAGCUUUUCCCCGGGAUCGAGGCCGGGAUAACUCCGGACCCGGCUUUGUGCAGCGGGAGCAUCCCACGGUACGCGGGCUGGAGCAGGCGCGGGUGGGAAAGCGGCUGGAAAAAUUCCUCUUGAGGGUUCAAAACAUCCGUGAGAGCCGCAAAAGCCGCUUGGUGGUGGCACCGCGCACUUUGCUCGCCCGGGGAAUCCAGGUGAAAUGCAAAAACAAGGAGGAAAAAGUUGUGGAAAGCCGCGCAUUCCGUAGCGGGAUGUUUGUUUGUUUUCCUGUGGGUCAGCGGAUCAUCAAGGGGUUAAAUUGUGCUCGGGUGUUUCCCAGGGAUCGCCGCUUCCCGGGAAAAGCGUUUCUGUAAAGCAAAACCCUGGCAGCAUGAACAAAUGUGUGAGUUUUUGUGUCCUCGGGUGUCAGCUCAGCUGAGAUGGGGACGAUUUAAUGAGCUCUCUGCAGGCCUGUAAACGGGGAUGUUCGGAAAAUACACGAAUUAAAUUCUCUUGUUUGCAGGGGAGAUGUCUCCAACUUCCACAAAAGUUCAGACAAACCCACGUCAGGUGUGCCGCGAGGCAGUGACUCAAAUAAAUAAGCAAAAAUAAAUUCUAUCACAGACAAGCAAUGCCACAGAAAAUAAACCAGCAGCACCCAGAGAAGUCAGGGUUAAGGGUUAGGGUCAAAUUUGAUGCCUGGGGGG